rnacentral:misc_RNA from 1 species
GGCCGACUUCCGAUUUGAUCUCACCAAGCAAAAUGUCUCCGAUCAAGAUCAUCAAGGCUCGCCAGAUCUUCGACAGCCGUGGCAACCCCACCGUCGAGGUUGAUAUUUACCUCGUCGAUGGCACUCAUGCUAGGGCUGCUGUUCCCAGCGGCGCCUCUACAGGUAUUUACGAAGCUCUCGAGUUGAGGGACGGUGGAUCUGACUACCUCGGAAAGGGU